UGAGUAACACGUAUCCAACCUGCCGUCUACUCUUGGCCAGCCUUCUGAAAGGAAGAUUAAUCCAGGAUGGCAUCAUGAGUUCACAUGUCCGCAUGAUUAAAGGUAUUUUCCGGUAGACGAUGGGGAUGCGUUCCAUUAGAUAGUAGGCGGGGUAACGGCCCACCUAGUCAACGAUGGAUAGGGGUUCUGAGAGGAAGGUCCCCCACAUUGGAACUGAGACACGGUCCAA
rnacentral:rRNA from 1 species